rnacentral:lncRNA from 1 species
GAUAUGCAAUUUAGAUUCAAGCAGAAAAGAGGUGUUAACCAUGCUAUCGGGCUUAGAUAGCACGGAAGACUGUGAUCAGGAUAUAGCUACAAUUUAUCACACUUUAGUGCAUGCAACCCCUAAACUGUGGUUGAUGAUUUUGUAAUUUUAUCGAGGGGAUAUUUUACUUAGGUUGUUAAACCUGAUACAGGCGAUGAGGGAAAAGAAGGACGGGAUUGGUAGAAAAGUAUAGGAGAUGGUGGAACGUGUGAUUACAAGAAAGGUAACAUUAACAUUUUGUUUAAAUUUUAAAUAAUUUCAGUUUUGAUUUAUCUUUGCUUUGGCAUCUUGUAUAAAAUGAGGUGUAAAAGGGGUGAUACAGGUACUAGUGUUGAGGAGGGUUUUACACCUAUGCAAAUUAUUCCAACCAAUAAGUCUCAUUUAAAUAAAGGGGGUGUUUAAAAACAAUUUUCAUCAUUUUUUUUUCAAUAAAGGAGUAUAUUAAAAGUAACUUUCAACAUUUUUUACAGUGCUAGUCAUAGUUGUAAAAUUCAUG